GAUGAACGCUGGCGGCGUGCCUAAUACAUGCAAGUCGAGCGAACAGAUGAGGAGCUUGCUCCUCUGACGGGAGCGGCGGACGGGUGAGUAACACGUGGAUAACCUACCUAUAAGACUGGGAUAACUUCGGGAAACCGGAGCUAAUACCGGAUAAUAUAUUGAACCGCAUGGUGCAAUAGUGAAAGACGGUUGUGCUGUCACUUAUAGAUGGAUCCGCGCCGCAUUAGCUAGUUGGUAAGGUAACGGCUUACCAAGGCGACGAUGCGUAGCCGACCUGAGGGGGUGAUCGGCCACAGUGGAACUGAGACUCGGUCCAGACUCCGACGGGAGGCAGCAGUAGGGAAUCUUCCGAAAUGGGCGAAAGCCUGACGGAGCAACGCCGCGUGAGUGAUGAAGGUCUUCGGAUCGUAAAACUCUGUUAUUAGGGAAGAACAAAUGUGUAAGUAGCUAUGCACGUCUUGACGGUACCUAAUCAGAAAGCCCCGGCUAACUACGUG
rnacentral:rRNA from 1 species